AGAUUGAACGCUGGCGGCAUGCCUAACACAUGCAAGUCGAACGGGAGUAGCAAUACUCUAGUGGCGGACGGGUGAGGAAUACGUAGGAAUUUGCCCUUAAGUGGGGGAUAACCCGGGGAAACCCGGAUUAAUACCGCAUGACCUCGAAAGAGCAAAGUGGGGGAUCGCAAGACCUCACGCUUUUGGAGAAGCCUACGUCGGAUUAGCUAGUUGGUGAGGUAAUGGCUCACCAAGGCGACGAUCCGUAACUGGUCUGAGAGGAUGAUCAGUCACACCGGAACUGAGACACGGUCCGGACUCCUACGGGA
rnacentral:rRNA from 1 species